rnacentral:rRNA from 1 species
GAUGAACGCUAGCGGCAGGCUUAAUACAUGCAAGUCGAGGGGCAGCAUAGGUAGCAAUACUUGAUGGCGACCGGCAAACGGGUGCGGAACACGUACGCAACCUUCCUUUAAGUGGAGAAUAGCUCCCGGAAACGGGAAUUAAUACUCCGUAACAUUUUGAAGUGGCAUCACUUUACAAUUAUAGAUUUAUCGCUUAAAGAUGGGCGUGCGCCUGAUUAGGCAGUUGGCGGGGUAACGGCCCACCAAACCUACGAUCAGUAACUGGCGUGA